AAAGUAUUGAGGAGCAACUGGGA
rnacentral:piRNA from 1 species